AUUGAACGCUGGCGGAAUGCUUUACACAUGCAAGUCGAGCGGCAGCACGGGGGCAAUCCUGGUGGCGAGUGGCGAACGGGUGAGUAAUAUAUCGGAACGUGCCCAGUCGUGGGGGAUAACGUAGCGAAAGCUACGCUAAUACCGCAUACGAUCUAUGGAUGAAAGCGGGGGAUCGCAAGACCUCGCGCGAUUGGAGCGGCCGAUAUCAGAUUAGGUAGUUGGUGGGGUAAAAGCUCACCAAGCCGACGAUCUGUAGCUGGUCUGAGAGGACGACCAGCCACACUGGGACUGAGACACGGCCCAGACUCCUACGGGAGGCAGCAGUGGGGAAUUUUGGACAAUGGGCGCAAGCCUGAUCCAGCAAUGCCGCGUGCAGGAUGAAGGCCUUCGGGUUGCAAACUGCUUUUGUACGGAGCGAAAAGGCUUCCACUAAUACUGGGGGCUCAUGACGGUACCGUAAGAAUAAGCACCGGCUAACUACGUGCCAGCCGCCGCAGUAAGAC
rnacentral:rRNA from 1 species